rnacentral:rRNA from 1 species
GACGAACGCUGGCGGCGUGCCUAAUACAUGCAAGUUGAGCGCUGAAGGUUGGUACUUGUACCAACUGGAUGAGCAGCGAACGGGUGAGUAACGCGUGGGGAAUCUGCCUUUGAGCGGGGGACAACAUUUGGAAACGAAUGCUAAUACCGCAUAAAAACUUUAAACACAAGUUUUAAGUUUGAAAGAUGCAAUUGCAUCACUCAAAGAUGAUCCCGCGUUGUAUUAGCUAGUUGGUGAGGUAAAGGCUCACCAAGGCGAUGAUACAUAGCCGACCUGAGAGGGUGAUCGGCCACAUUGGGACGGAGACACGGCCCAAACUCCUACGGGAGGCAGCAGUAGGGAAUCUUCGGCAAUGGACGAAAGUCUGACCGAGCAACGCCGCGUGAGUGAAGAAGGGUUUCGGAUCGUAAAACUCUGUUGGUAGAGAAGAACGUUGGUGAGAGUGGAAAGCUCAUCAAGUGACGGUAACUACCCAGAAAGGGACGGCUAACUACGUA